GUAAACGUGCUGCGCAAAGAUUAGUGUUGUGGUUAUUAAGCACACGUGUUAUUGAACCUGUUUAUCAAAGAUUAAUAUUAAUUUGCUGUUCUUGUCAAGAUGAGUCGUGGUUCAUAUUGUAUGGUAUUAACCUGCCCGAACAAUAAAAGUAAAAACUCAAAGCUCGCGUUUUUUACAUUACCGAAGGACAUGAAAAUUGCCAAAAGUUGGAUCGAAUUCUCUGGACGCAAAGAUCUUGACCUGGGUGCUUCGAAAGACUAUAGAAUGUGUAGUGAGCAUUUUACAGAAAACCAGUUCAAAUGUAUAUAUCCACGGAUAUUGCUUCGGCGUGGAAGUAUUCCUCAUGUGAAUGGACCUAAAUCAGAUGUUCUUCCUGAAUCAGAGUCUAAGAUGAUCAUCCAUGAAGAAACUGUUCAAACGGAUCAAAACGUACCUCUAUCUAAUAUUGUUGUAGGAAGAAAAGUAUCUCUUUCUAGGAAGCCAUCUUGGUCUUAGAUGUAAUGUCAUACCUACAAUCGGUAUUCCAGAUGAAAAUACCAAUCACGACAACAAUUUAGAAAUUAAUGAGCCAUCAACAAAUAGGAUUAACGAAGAUGUUGGGCAGUUUAUAGAUGAAACUGUUUCAAAUUCGCAAAAUGACACAUCUUUUUGUAAUGAUGCAGAAAAUGAUUUUGAAGCUAAAAUGUGGAAAAAAUUAGAGACUCUAAAUCCAGAAGGAAAAAAGAGAUUAUUUGCAUUUGCACUAUCUAUGGCAGAUGAAAUUUUCCAAACACAGAGCCAAUGCCAAGAAGAACCAAUAUCUAAGAAGAUAAAACUUGAGGAACAACCUAUUUCCCAAGUAAAAAAUGAAUAAUUUACCAAUCUGAUCAUAAUGAUACACAGAGUAGGAGUUUUAGUGGGUAUGCCAAUCAUAAGACUCCCACAAUACCUCAACUUGUUAAGGUGUUCUACUUGAACAUGUUAGGAUAUAUAUACAUCUUUUCAUUUCUCUAUAUGGCUAGGUAUUUUUACAGAAACACAAAACAUACAUUUGAUGACAAACAAAAUAUUGAAUGGUCCAAAAUAUUGAUUCUGCAAACUAUCAUCCUAUCAUCUUCUUAAGCUUGCCAGCCAUAGCAGUAAUUGGACUAAAAAUGCAGACUACCAGAACUUCAUAGAAAAUAAUUUAAAACAUUAAAAUGAGAUUUACAAUUGAGAUGAAUUCUAACUGAACCAGGAUGUUAUACAUAUAGGAGAUGUAGAGAUAAUGUUCAAAUGUGGACAGAAGAACCAGUCAAUAUCAAAAUAAAAUAUUUACAUAAAUUAAUAAAAUUAAUUGUUUAUAAUUUCGAACAACUGUAAGCUUUCUUACAAUAAACUAUUUACUGCAUUGAUA